UUCGACCAAAAAGGCGUAUCUGAGGUUGGAAUUUAUCUUGUUACCAGCCAUUGUAGCAGCCAGAGCAUGAGUUCCAUGGCUGCGAAUGAGAGAUUGGUGGAUCGCAGCAUCCACAGUAGACAGUACAGCUUCAUCUCCCAGAACCGAGAAGCGCUGGUCUUGGUAAUGGUGAAAGACGCGUGGAGGUCACUGUGUCUGCACAGUGAGUGCUGUAGGAGGAAGUGUAGGGUACCACACCAUCUGGAAACCAAAAAUCUCCUUCCACCUUGUAGUUUGUGUGUUUAUUAAAGGCAGAGCCAGCUACCUGACCUCUGAGGUCUCCUGCAAUAGGAAUGCAGAAUCUUUUGUUUAAAGGGAAGAGAAAAGGUGCUGCUGAAAGUCUCAAAAGGGCUCUAUAUUCUAGGAUGUUUUCAUUUACUGUUUAAUAUUACUCUGAAUAUGGAAAGUUUUAUUUUAAAAUCAUAAUGCAUUUAGAAUUUGUGCUAAACAGGGUAUAAUAUAAUCUUAUCAGAAAAAGAUAGGUGCAAGUUUGUGUGUGUGUGUGUGUGUGUGUGAGUGUGUGUGUGUGACUGUGUGUGUGUGUGUGUGUGUGUGUGUGUUGUAUGUGUGGGGAGCAUGCAGGGGUGGCAGACAGAUACGUUAACUUUGUUCAUACAGUGAUUGUUUUUUAAUAACUUUCUAUGUAUAAUCUGUAAGAUUGUCUUGUAUGCUUUUAAUACACACAAAAACUAUUUCAAAAAUGUAAUGUUUAAAACACAGCCAUGAGAACACUUAGCUUGUAUAGACUUGUGCACUUUAUUCUUGCUAGAACAGGGAAAGUGGAUUAGUGUCGUCAAAAAAUCAUCUUUCUAGCACUCUCCCUUUUCAACCUGUUAGUUAAUGCAGACUUAAAAGGAAAGCAUCUUUGAUUGUGAUAGCUUUUCUUCUCCUUGCUUGCCAUAAUUUUUAGUGUAAAUGUCUGAUUUGUUUGAAGGUAACAUAGGUACAUACAUGGGUAUUAGUGUUUCCAGGAUCAUCGUGUGUGUGUGUGUGUGUGUGUGUGUGUGUGUGUGUGUGUGUUUCUUAGAACACCAUUACCUGCCCACCAGCAUUAAUAUCUCACUGACUCUGGAUAUACUGUGACUAGAUGCCUCUUUCUGCUACCAUCAGACCUUCACUACCAUGACUGUGUCCUCAAACUAUGAGCCAAAAUAAAUGUUUCCUGCCUUAAGUCAUUUUUGUCAAGUACUUAAUCACAGAAAAGAGAAAAUCAUAGAGAAAAUAGGUACCAAGAAUGAUAUCAUUGUUGUGAUGACAAACCUGUUCUUGGGAUUUUUAGGAACAGAUUUGCAAGAAAUGUGGGAAAGAAUUUGGAACUGCGGGAUAGAGUAGCCAUAAACUGCUGUAAGCUUAGCUUAAUGGAACUUGGAGUAGAAGGAGUUAGAAAGUCUAGAAUGUUAAGAAAAACGUAGACAAAUGGAGGUCUGAGAGAAACAAGGAUUCUAUUGAGAACUGGGCUGGUGUCAUUCGUGUGCUAUUCUGGCAAAGGGUCUGGCUACGUUUUGUUCAUGUCCUGACAACUUGAGUGAAGCUAACUUGGAAAGUGAUGAACUAAUGUGUUUGGCAGGGGAAAUGUCAAGGCAGAUACCAUCCAGUCUGUGUUAUGGUUUCUGCUCACUGCGUGUAUCCAAGUCUGCAGAGAGAGAAAGCAACCGUGGGAGAGAAAAGAUGUGAAAAAUGUGUCACUCGCUGAAGAGAGGAGAGAGUCUACUACUGCAGGCAAGGACAUCUUAGGAUCACAUCUCCUAUUAAUAUAAACGUGGAGCCAGGAUGAUGAAGACUGAAAACUUGAGGGAAGUUGGCUGGAAACCAAAACUCAGUUCCAAAAAAAAAGCAAACUCUACCAGGAAGCUCCUCCCUCCUUCAGCAUCUAUCAGGAAGCUCCUCCUCCUUCAGCAUCUACCAGGAAGCUCCUCCUCCUCCAGCAUCUACCAGGAAGCUCCUCCUCCUUCAGAUCUACAAGGAAGCUCCUCCCUCCUUCAGCAUCUACCAGAAGUUCCUCCUCCUUCAGCAUCUACCAGGAAGCUCCUCCUCCUCCAGCAUCUACCAGGAAGCUCCUCCUCCUUCAGAUCUACAAGGAAGCUCCUCCCUCCUUCAGCAUCUACCAGAAGUUCCUUCCUCCUUCAGCAUCUACCAGAAGCUCCUCCUCCUCCAGCAUCUACCAGGAAGCUCCUCCUCCUUCAGAUCUACAAGGAAGCUCCUCCCUCCUUCAGCAUCUACCAGAAGUUCCUCCUCCUUCAGCAUCUACCAGGAAGCUCCUCCUCCUCCAGCAUCUACCAGGAAGCUCCUCCUCCUUCAGAUCUACAAGGAAGCUCCUCCCUCCUUCAGCAUCUACCAGAAGUUCCUUCCUCCUUCAGCAUCUACCAGAAGCUCCUCCUCCUUCAGCAUCUACCAGAAGUCAAAUGCUAUCCUAAUUCAUAUCCCCUUAAAGCUACUAAAAAUUAAUGUUUCUCUUUAGAGUGAUAGUGGUUAGUUGUCACUAUAAAGCAUCUAUCUUAUUACGUUAAUUGAUCUCUUUUCUUAAUUUUAUGAAACCAGAUGGACUCCUGACUCUAUCCUUGAAAGGAGCAAUUUUGAUGAGUAAGGCGGAUUAUAACAAUCAAAAUGCCCAAUAAAGGGUUUACCAUGUGAGCGUACAGUUGUUAGAACACAUUGCGUUUGAGGUUGUUUCAACUACUGCUAACUCAAUGAGCAUCUUCACCCACACACUGUCUCCUUCAGCACCAGCCCCUUCUCUUGACUGAGAGCUUCAGAUGUGCUUAUCUCCAAAGUCUUUUCGAGCGUAGUGUGUUCUCCUUAUUGUGUCCUACUCCAGCUGCAAAACAACUAUUAAACCA